rnacentral:rRNA from 1 species
CUGUAAACGAUGAGUGCUAAAUGUGAGGAUUUUAUCUUUGUAUUGUAGCUAACGCGUUAAGCACUCCGCCUGGGGACUACGGUCGCAAGACUAAAACUCAAAGGAAUUGACGGGGACCCGCACAAGCGGUGGAGCAUGUGGUUUAAUUCGAUGCUACGCGAAAAACCUUACCACUUUUUGACAUGAAGGUCGUAUCCCUCCUAACAGGGGGAGUCAGUUCGGCUGGACCUUACACAGGUGCUGCAUGGUUGUCGUCAGCUCGUGUCGUGAGAUGUUGGGUUAAGUCCCGCAACGAGCGCAACCCUCAUUCUUAGUUACCAACAGGUAAUGCUGGGCACUCUAAGGAAACUGCCAG